rnacentral:rRNA from 1 species
AACGAACGCUGGCGGCAGGCUUAACACAUGCAAGUCGAACGCAUCCUUCGGGGUGAGUGGCAGACGGGUGAGUAACGCGUGGGAACGUGCCCUUCAGUUCGGGAUAACCCAGGGAAACUUGGGCUAAUACCGGAUACGUGCGAGAGCAGAAAGAUUUAUCGCUGAAGGAUCGUCCCGCGUCCGAUUAGCUAGUUGGUGGGGUUAUGGCCCACAAAGGCGACGAUCAGGAACUGGUCUGAGAGGAUGACCAGCCACAGAGGGACUGAGACACGGCCAAAACUCCUACGGGAGGCAGAAGUGAGGAAUAUUGGAAAAUGGGCGCAAGCCUGAUCCAGCCAUGCCGCGUGAGUGAUGCAGGACUUAGAGUUGUAAAGCUCUUUCGUCCGGGACGAUAAUGACGGUACCGGAAGAAGAAGCCCCGGCUAACUUCGUGCCAGCCGCCGCUGUAA